rnacentral:rRNA from 1 species
UAACCUGCCCAAGAGAUCGGGAUAACACCUGGAAACAGAUGCUAAUACCGGAUAACAACAGAUGAUGCCUAUCAACUGUUUAAAAGAUGGUUCUGCUAUCACUCUUGGAUGGACCUGCGGUGCAUUAGCUAGUUGGUAGGGUAACGGCCUACCAAGGCGAUGAUGCAUAGCCGAGUUGAGAGACUGAUCGGCCACAUUGGGACUGANACACGGCCCAAACUCCUACGGGAGGCAGCAGUC